rnacentral:rRNA from 1 species
CUACGGAGGGUGCAAGCGUUACUCGGAAUCACUGGGCGUAAAGGACGCGUAGGCGGGUUGGUAAGUCAGAUGUGAAAUCCUACAGCUUAACUGUAGAACUGCAUUUGAAACUACUAACCUAGAGUAUGGGAGGGGGAGAUGGAAUUAGUGGUGUAGGGGUAAAAUCCGUAGAUAUCACUAGGAAUACCGAAAGCGAAGGCGAUCUCCUGGAACAUAACUGACGCUAAGGCGUGAAAGCGUGGGGAGCAAACAGGAUUAGAUACCCCAGUAGUCC